rnacentral:rRNA from 1 species
CCUACGGGAGGCAGCAGUGGGGAAUCUUGCGCAAUGGGCGAAAGCCUGACGCAGCCAUGCCGCGUGAAUGAUGAAGGUCUUAGGAUUGUAAAAUUCUUUCACCGGGGACGAUAAUGACGGUACCCGGAGAAGAAGCCCCGGCUAACUUCGUGCCAGCAGCCGCGGUAAUACGAAGGGGGCUAGCGUUGCUCGGAAUUACUGGGCGUAAAGGGAGCGUAGGCGGAUAGUUUAGUCAGAGGUGAAAGCCCAGGGCUCAACCUUGGAAUUGCCUUUGAUACUGGCUAUCUUGAGUAUGGGAGAGGUAUGCGGAACUCCGAGUGUAGAGGUGAAAUUCGUAGAUAUUCGGAAGAACACCAGUGGCGAAGGCGGCAUACUGGCCCAUUACUGACGCUGAGGCUCGAAAGCGUGGGGAGCAAACAGGAUUAGAUACCCUGGUAGUCCACGCUGUAAACGAUGAGUGCUAGUUGUCGGCAUGCAUGCAUGUCGGUGGACGCAGCUAACGACAUUAAGACACUCCGCCGUCGGGGAGGUACGGUCGGCGAGAAUUAAACGUACGAAAGAAGUUAGACGGCGUGAGACGUGCCGACGGACGACGACGAGGGAGGUUAGG